rnacentral:rRNA from 1 species
GGGGAAUAUUGCGCAAUGGGCGAAAGCCUGACGCAGCAACGCCGUGUGAGGGAUGAAGGCUUUCGGGUCGUAAACCUCUGUCGGAAGGGAAGAACGGGCAUUGGUCUAAUAGGCCUUUGUUUUGACGGUACCUUUAGAGGAAGCACCGGCUAACUCCGUGCCAGCAGCCGCGGUAAUACGGAGGGUGCAAGCGUUAUUCGGAAUUACUGGGCGUAAAGCGCACGUAGGCCGCUUUGUAAGUCAGGGGUGAAAUCCCACGGCUCAACCGUGGAACUGCCUUUGAAACUGCAGAGCUUGAAUCCUGGAGAGGGUGGCGGAAUUCCUGGUGUAGGAGUGAAAUCCGUAGAUAUCAGGAGGAACACCGGUGGCGAAGGCGGCCACCUGGACAGGCAUUGACGCUGAGGUGCGAAAGUGUGGGGAGCAAAC